UACAGAGGUCUCAAGCGUUGUUCGGAGUUACUGGGCGUAAAGGGUGUGUAGGCGGUUUUCUAAGUUUGGUGUGAAAUCUCCCGGCUUAACCGGGAGGGUGCGCCGAAAACUGGGAGACUAGAGUGCGGGAUGGGAGAGUAGAAUUCCUGGUGUAGCGGUGAAAUGCGUAGAUAUCAGGAGGAAUACCGGUGGUGCAGACGGCUCUCUGGACCGCAACUGACGCUGAGACACGAAAGCGUGGGUAGCAAACAGG
rnacentral:rRNA from 1 species